AUGGAAGUGAUAUUGGCAAUAUUAGAAAUCCAGCUCUGUGGGCUGUGAGGCAAUAGGAUGUGAUAGAAACUGUAAGCAUGGAUGCAGUAGAUGAUUUAAUUUCAACACAGAUAUACUUGAUUGUUUGGAAAACCAUGAGAGAAAAAGAAGACAGAAUAUCAGAGUAAAAGAAAAGUGUAAUUCGAGAGCCAUAUUAACUUGAGAAAGGUUAUACCAUGCCUGUGCCACCGUCCAUACGUUUGCUGCUUCCUUCAAUCAUUGGCUACAAGAAUAGAAGCUUCAAAUUUAUUAGCCUGGGAUUGGAAAGGUCUCCGAGGAUCUAGUAACAAAUGUUUCAUGAAUUUAUGGAUUUCCUCCUUGAUGAAUGGUUACAUCAUAACACACAGCUGAGUAGAAGGUGGCACGAAGUUUGAGUCACUGACUGACUCAGGAUGAAACAUUUACCAGUAAGGAACACUUACCUGGACUUUGGUUACUCUGAUGCCUCUGUUCUUCUGAGAUUGAUUCUGUUUCCAGAUGGCUCUGAAUAUUUGCA
rnacentral:lncRNA from 12 species